rnacentral:rRNA from 1 species
CCUUGAAAUACCACCCUUUAAUGUUUGAUGUUCUAACGUGGACCCGUGAUCCGGGUUGCGGACAGUGUCUGGUGGGUAGUUUGACUGGGGCGGUCUCCUCCUAAAGAGUAACGGAGGAGCACGAAGGUUGGCUAAUCCUGGUCGGGCAUCAGGAGGUUAGUGCAAUGGCAUAAGCCAGCUUGACUGCGAGCGUGACGGCGCGAGCAGGUGCGAAAGCAGGUCAUAGUGAUCCGGUGGUUCUGAAUGGAAGGGCCAUCGCUCAACGGAUAAAAGGUACUCCGGGGAUAACAGGCUGAUACCGCCCAAGAGUUCAUAUCGACGGCGGUGUUUGGCACCUCGAUGUCGGCUCAUCACAUCCUGGGGCUGAAGUAGGUCCCAAGGGUAUGGCUGUUCGCCAUUUAAAGUGGUACGCGAGCUGGGUUUAGAACGUCGUGAGACAGUUCGGUCCCUAUCUGCCGUGGGCGCUGGAGAACUGAGGGGGGCUGCUCCUAGUACGAGAGGACCGGAGUGGACGCAUCACUGGUGUUCGGGUUGUCAUGCCAAUGGCACUGCCCGGUAGCUAAAUGCGGAAGAGAUAAGUGCUGAAAGCAUCUAAGCACGAAACUUGCCCCGA